AUUGAACGCUGGCGGAAUGCUUUACACAUGCAAGUCGAACGGCAGCACGGACUUCGGUCUGGUGGCGAGUGGCGAACGGGUGAGUAAUACAUCGGAACGUGCCCGAUCGUGGGGGAUAACGUAGCGAAAGCUACGCUAAUACCGCAUACGAUCUAAGGAUGAAAGCGGGGGAUCGCAAGACCUCGCGCGAUUGGAGCGGCCGAUGGCAGAUUAGGUAGUUGGUAGGGUAAAGGCCUACCAAGCCGACGAUCUGUAGCUGGUCUGAGAGGAUGGCCAACCAAACUGGGACUAAACAACGGCCCAGAAUCUUACGUGAGGCAGCAGUGGGGAAUUUUGGACAAUGGACGCAAGUCUUAUCCCGCCAUUCCGCGUGCAUGAUCAAGGCCCUCGUGUUGUAAACUGCUUUUGUACAGAACGAAAAGGCUCUGGUUAAUACCUAGGGCUCAUGACGGUACUGUAAGAAUAAGCACCGGCUAACUACGUGCCAGCCGCCGCAGUAA
rnacentral:rRNA from 1 species